rnacentral:piRNA from 1 species
UUGAGAUUCAGCAUACAGUCACGC